UACGAAGGGGGCUAGCGUUGCUCGGAUUUACUGGGCGUAAAGGGCGCGUAGGCGGACAGUUAAGUUGGGGGUGAAAGCCCGGGGCUCAACCUCGGAAUUGCCUUCAAUACUGGCUGUCUUGAGUGUGAGAGAGGUGUGUGGAACUCCGAGUGUAGAGGUGAAAUUCGUAGAUAUUCGGAAGAACACCAGUGGCGAAGGCGACUCACUGGCCCGUUACUGACGCUGAGGCGCGAAAGCGUGGGGAGCGAACAGG
rnacentral:rRNA from 1 species